rnacentral:rRNA from 1 species
GACGAACGCUGGCGGCGCGCUUAACACAUGCAAGUCGAGCGAGAACCGGGGCUUCGGCCCCAGGGACAGCGGCGAACGGGUGAGUAACACGUGGGUAACCUGCCCUCGGCACCGGGAUAGCCCGGGGAAACUCGGAUUAAUACCGGAUGGCCCCUCCGACCUUCUGGUCGGCUGGGAAAGGUAGCUUCGGCUUCCGGCCGAUGAUGGGCCCGCGGCGGAUUAGCUUGUUGGUGGGGUAACGGCCCACCAAGGCUCCCGAUCCGUAGCUGGUCUGAGAGGACGAUCAGCCACACUGGGACUGAGACACGGCCCAGACUCCUACGGGAGGCAGCAGUGGGGAAUCUUGCGCAAUGGGCGAAAGCCUGACGCAGCGACGCCGCGUGAGGGAAGAAGGCC